GUCCUCGUAGCUUAAUUGGAUAGAGCAUUGGGUUGCGGACCCAAAGGUUGGGCGUUCAAGUCGCCCCGGGGACA
rnacentral:tRNA from 1 species